rnacentral:rRNA from 1 species
AACGAACGCUGGCGGCAGGCCUAACACAUGCAAGUCGAGCGAGGACUUCGGUUCUAGCGGCGGACGGGUGAGUAACGCGUGGGAAUGUGCCCUUCUCUACGGAAUAGCCCUGGGAAACUGGGAGUAAUACCGUAUACGCCCUAUUGGGGAAAGAUUUAUCGGAGAAGGAUCAGCCCGCGUUGGAUUAGGUAGUUGGUGGGGUAAUGGCCUACCAAGCCGACGAUCCAUAGCUGGUUUGAGAGGAUGAUCAGCCACACUGGGACUGAGACACGGCCCAGACUCCUACGGGAGGCAGCAGUGGGGAAUCUUAGAAAAUGGGGGCAACCCUGAUCUAGCCAUGCCGGGUGAGUGAUGAAGGCCUUAGGGUUGUAAAGCUCUUUCAGCUGGGAAGAUAAUGACGGUACCAGCAGAAGAAGCCCCGGCUAACUCCGUG